GAUGAACGCUGUCUACAGGCUUAACACAUGCAAGUCGAGGGGAAACGCCGGGGAAGCUUGCUUCCCCGGGCGUCGACCGGCGCACGGGUGAGUAACGCGUAUCCAACCUGCCUCUGACUGAGGGAUAACCCGUCGAAAGUCGGCCUAAUACCUCAUGGCAUCGUCUGCGGGCAUCCAACGACGAUUAAAGAUUUCAUCGGUCAGGGAUGGGGAUGCGUCUGAUUAGCUUGUUGGCGGGGUAACGGCCCACCAAGGCUACGAUCAGUAGGGGUUCUGAGAGGAAGGUCCCCCACAUUGGAACUGAGACACGGUCCAAACUCCUACGGGAGGCAGCAGUGAGGAAUAUUGGUCAAUGGGCGGGAGCCUGAACCAGCCAAGUAGCGUGCAGGAUGACGGCCCUAUGGGUUGUAAACUGCUUUUAUGCGGGGAUAAAGUGAGGGACGUGUCCUUCAUUGCAGGUACCGCAUGAAUAAGGACCGGCUAAGUCCGUG
rnacentral:rRNA from 1 species